GAUGUAGUGCGGCUUAGUGGUUAGCACGUUGGCCUCGCACCUCUAGGGUUGGGGGUUCAAUUCCUGCCUACGCCU